AUCCCAAGAAACAGCAACCAU
rnacentral:snRNA from 1 species